GACAGAGGUGGCAAGCGUUAUCCGGAAUGAUUGGGCGUAAAGCGUUCGCAGGUGGCUGUUCAAGUCUGCUGUCAAAGACCGGGGCUUAACCCUAGAAAGGCAGUGGAAACUGGACGGCUGGAGUGCAGUAUGGGUAGAGGGAAUUCCCAGUGUAGCGGUGAAAUGCGUAGAGAUUGGGAAGAACACCGGUGGCGAAAGCGCUCUGCUGGACUGCAACUGACACUGAGGGACGAAAGCUAGGGGAGCGAAAGGG
rnacentral:rRNA from 1 species